rnacentral:rRNA from 1 species
GAUGAACGCUGGCGGCGUGCCUAAUACAUGCAAGUCGAGCGAACGGACGAGAAGCGUGCGUCUCUGCUGUUAGCGGCGGACGGGUGAGUAACACGUGGAUAACCUACCUAUAAGACUGGGAUAACUUCGGGAAACCGGAGCUAAUACCACCUCAUAUUUUGAACGGCAUGGUUCAAAAGUGAAUGACGGUCUUGCUGUCACUUUUAGAUGGAUCCGCGCUGCAUUAGCUAGUUGGUAAGGUAACGGCUUACCAAGGCAACGAUGCAUAGCCGACCUGAGAGGGUGAUCGGCCACACUGGAACUGAGACACGGUCCUGACUCCUACGGGAGGCAGCAGUAGGGAAUCUUCCGCAAUGGGCGAAAGCCUGACGGAGCAACGCCGCGUGAGUGAUGAAGGUCUUCGGAUCGUAAAACUCUGUUAUUAGGGAAGAACAUAUGUGUAAGUAACUGUGCAUAUCUUGACGGUACCUAAUCAGAAAGCCACGGCUAACUACGUG